rnacentral:tRNA from 1 species
GCCGUGGCUCAAUGGUAGAGCACUUCACUCGUAAUGAAGUGGUUGCGAGUUCGAUUCUCGCCGGC